UUUCAUAACUCUCCUUUUUUUUCUUUUUGGCCUUCUUCUUCUUUUUCUUCUUGUUCCUCACUGCAAACGCAUAGCUGUUACAUAGCUCAUAUUACGGUUGAAACAAGAAGGUGCGUCAGCACUAAAAUGCGGUUGUCAAA
rnacentral:ribozyme from 1 species